rnacentral:misc_RNA from 1 species
AACGCACGAGACCUGCGGACCUGCGGAAGGAUCAUUAACGAUUUCGGUGUAAAAAACCGUUUUCUACCUAUGUCUACGCGUACCACUUGUUUCCUCGGGGGGCUUGCCCCCCGCUAGGACCCUUUAUCAAACCUUUUUGUAAUAGCAGUCAGCGUCUGAUACUACGUUAAUUAUUAAAACUUUUAACAAUGGAUCUCU